GCAGGUUCUAUCUAACUAAGUUUGUUGUUCAUUCCAACUUCCCACUGUGUAUGAAAAGUUGCAGUAGAGCUGUUUCAUGAUGAACUGUUUCAAUGAGAAGGUAGAUGUUAUUUCAUGCUACUGAGAUGUGCAUGGUUUGACACCAGUAUUGCCAGCAUUUGUUUAAUUAACUGAGCUAUCUGGAGUGAUCAGAGAGUAGACUAAAGAAGUGAAGUAGACCAACUGCCAGUGUUUUAAAGUUCUAUGAAGUGAGUCUGUGUAGUUACUAACCCUUGUUCUAGUGAAUGGAUGUUGAUAUGAAAUGAGUCUAUGUAGUUACUAACCCUUGUUAUAGUGAGUAGAGGAUGACAUGCCCCUUUUUUUAGCUUUCAUCUCUUACCCACUUUUAGAAUAGUUUUAUUCCCCUGUAUUGUACAGCCUACUGAUAUAAAUACAUAUGUCACCCGGUACAGACAGAAGAGGACCGGCCACCCCUUUGAGCCUGGUUCCUCUCUGUUUCUUCCAAGGUUCCUGCUUUCUAGGGAGUUUUUCGUGGCCAUUGUGCUUCUACAUCUGCAUUGCUUGCUCUUUGGGGAUUUCGGGAGACCAUGUUGAGACAUUCUCUACAUCCAGAGAGCAUCAGCAGGAAGAUCACAUAGCAAAGAGGUCUCACCACUGCACACAUUGUGAGGGGAUUUUCCCAUUUCUAUCAAAGCUAAAAAUACACCUAAAAAUACAUACAAGAGAAAAGCUUUACUCCUGCUCUGACUGUGGAUCGAGUUUUUCUCGACUGGGCCACCUAAAAAGACAUGAGCGUUUACACACUGGAGAGAAGCCUUACUCCUGCUCUGACUGUGGAUCGAGUUUUUCUCGACUGGGUACCUUAAAACAACAUGAACGUAUACACAAAGGAGAGAAGCCUUACUCCUGCUCUGACUGUGGGGCGAGUUUCUCUCGACUGGGUACCUUAAAACAACAUGAACGUAUACACACAGGAGAGAAGCCUUACUCCUGCUCUUACUGUGGAAAGAGUUUCUCUCGACCGUGCACCUUACAGAAACAUGAACGUAUACACACGGGAGAGAAGCCUUACUCCUGCUAUGACUGUGGGGCGAGUUUCUCUCGUCCGGACACCUUAAAAUUACAUGAUUGUAUACACACAGGAGAGAAGCCUUACUCCUGCUCUGACUGUGGAAAGCGUUUCCGUCAACUGGGUACCUUAAAACAACAUGAACGCAUACACACAGGAUAGAAGCCUUACUCCUGCUCUGACUUUGAAAAGAGUUUAUCUUAGGAGUAAGAGAAGCCUUACUCCUUUUCUGAAUGUGGGGCAAGUUUCUCUUGUCCGGACACCUUAAAAUGACCUGAACAUAUACACACACUGGAGAGAAGCCUUACUCCUGCUCCGACUGUGGAAAGUGUUUCUCUUGAAUGUGCCAUUUAAAAAGACACCAAAGGAAAGGAGGAGGGAGCCUUACCACUGAUCUGACUGUAGGAAAUGUUAAAACACCAGCUGAGCUUAAAGGUCAUUAGAGAAAAGACAAAGGAGAGAAGCCUUAUAUCCGCUCUCAAUGUGGCAAGAGUUUUUCCCAAUUGGUCAAUGUAAAAACACACCAAUGGAUACACACUUCAGAGAAGCCUUAUCACUGCACUGACUGUGGGAAGAGGUUCUACAGAUUGGGUCAUUUAAAAAGACACAAAUGUAUGCAUAAAGGACAGGCCUCAUCAGUUCUCUCAGACCAGCUAAGAUUAGACACUCCACUUAAUUCUCAUGUCAUUAAAUAAUUGGUUAUACUUGUUUAUAUGCUUAUAUAUCGGACAUGUGUGUUUUCAAAGUUCAGCGACACAAGUCUGUAAAUCAAAACCAAAUAUACAGGGUGUUGCAUGCUGUGAUCGUUGAGAAAACUGGGACAUGUAUCCUGCAAAGAAUCCUGAAUUGUCUGUAUAGGUAAUACUUGAUGCAUGAAUAAAAUAAAAAUUCUAUAAUGAAAA